rnacentral:rRNA from 1 species
UAGGGAAUCUUCCGCAAUGGGCGAAAGCCUGACGGAGCAACGCCGCGUGAGUGAUGAAGGUCUUCGGAUCGUAAAACUCUGUUAUUAGGGAAGAACAAAUGUGUACGUAACUAUGCACGUCCUGCCGGUACCUAAUCAGAAAGCCCCGGCUAACAACGUGCCAGCACCCGCGGUAAUACGUAGGUGGCAAGCGUUAUCCGGAAUUAUUGGGCGUAAAGCGCGCGUAGGCGGUUUUUUAAGUCUGAUGUGAAAGCCCACGGCUCAACCGUGGAGGAGCAUUGGAAACUGGAGAGCGUGAGGGCAGAAGAGGAAGGUGGAAUUCCAUGUGUAGCGGUGAAAUGCGCAGAGAUAUGGAGGAACACCGGUGGCGAAGGCGACGGACUGGUCUAUAACUGACGCUGAUGUGCGAAAGCGUGGGGAGCAAACAGG